rnacentral:rRNA from 1 species
AUUGAACGCUGGCGGCAUGCUUUACACAUGCAAGUCGAACGGUAACAGGCCGCAAGGUGCUGACGAGUGGCGAACGGGUGAGUAAUGCAUCGGAACGUGCCCAGUCGUGGGGGAUAACGCAGCGAAAGCUGCGCUAAUACCGCAUACGAUCUAUGGAUGAAAGCGGGGGACCGAAAGGCCUCGCGCGAUUGGAGCGGCCGAUGUCAGAUUAGGUAGUUGGUGGGGUAAAGGCCCACCAAGCCAACGAUCUGUAGCUGGUCUGAGAGGACGACCAGCCACACUGGGACUGAGACACGGCCCAGACUCCUACGGGAGGCAGCAGUGGGGAAUUUUGGACAAUGGGCGCAAGCCUGAUCCAGCAAUGCCGCGUGCAGGAUGAAGGCCUUCGGGUUGUAAACUGCUUUUGUACGGAACGAAAAGCCCUGGGUUAAUACCCUGGGGUCAUGACGGUACCGUAAGAAUAAGCACCGGCUAACUACGUGCCAGCAGCCGCCGCUGUAA